ACCUUAUGUAUCUGCUCCUUGGAAGAUAUUUCAUUCCAAUUCAAUUUAUAUUUGUUUUCAACAGGGCAGCUUAGUCUCCCUUUUCCUCCUCUCAAGAAUAAGGGUGAUGUUGUCAGCCUCUCAGAUGGUUGAGAAAAUGACUUAGCCUAGUGCCUGACACCCAGAAACUGCUCCAUGUAAGCGCCCCAUCCCCGUUGCUGUUCCACUGGAGAGAAAUGGAAACAAGGCUGUGGUAAACGACAUGCUUGGAUUGCAGCUAGACCUUGCAGCUUUUCAGGGAAUUGCGCCACAGAAAUGGAUCUCAGCUCAUCUCCACGAGCUCAUCUGCAUACCACGCAGGUCGUCGCUGGGAGAAAGUGUGUCUUCAGAACGGACCGUGGUAAGACUUGGAAUAAGGAGUCAACCCCCGUUUCAUGCAAAGGAAACAUUGAAGCUAAGUAGGGAACUGGGCACAUUAACACCAUCUGGGUUAAUAAGGCCACUGUGGACAGAGUUUAAAAUUGCUUCCACAAUUAAAGAGCCUGAGGAAAUCUAUAUGUUUGGGUCUGAAUGAGGACGCAUCCAAUAGUGAUGAGGAUUCUCUGUUUCUCUAAAAAUAAAAAAGAAACAGGGUGGGGUGGGGGUGGGGGU
rnacentral:lncRNA from 1 species